AUAGAUCUAAGGCUGAAUUCCGGCUCGAUCCGGAAGCGGAGGACCCAAUCAAUACGGGGUGAAAUCUGCUUAAUGCAGAAAGGGUGAACAUGAUCUCUCUUGCCACCCGAACCCGACAGCUAACUUCGUAAGCCGAUGCGAGAAGAGGG
rnacentral:sRNA from 1 species